CGUAGGGGGCUAGCGUUGUCCGGAUUUAUUGGGCGUAAAGCGCGUGUAGGCGGCCGGCUAGAUCUGGUGUGAAAACUCGAGGCUCAACCUCGAGAUGUCGCCGGAAACCAGUCGGCUAGAGUCCGGAAGAGGAGAGUGGAAUUCCUGGUGUAGCGGUGAAAUGCGCAGAUAUCAGGAAGAACACCUAUGGCGAAAGCAGCUCUCUGGGACGGUACUGACGCUGAGACGCGAAAGCGUGGGGAGCGAACAGGAUUAGAUACCCUGGUAGUCCACGCCGUAAACGAUGGGCGCUAGGUGUGGGCGGUGUCGACUCCGUCCGUGCCGAAGCUAACGCAUUAAGCGCCCCGCCUGGGGAGUACGGCCGCAAGGCUA
rnacentral:rRNA from 1 species